CCCUUAAAAAAAAAAUUUAGGCCCAACAUUUUUUAUCCCUCAAAAAAAUUUAGGCCCAUCAUUUUUUUCUCUCAUCAUAUCAUCAAUUCUAAUCCAUCAAAUUAUGGCAAACAAUUGGGAAUAAAGGGAGUAUUUACAAAACAAUUAUUGAUUUAUUACUCACUUGUUUCCCUCAAUUGUAAGAAUUCAAGAUCAAAAAAGUUUGGCACUUUUAGAUCACAUUACGAGCUAUAUUUUGGUAUACGAGUUUAAUUUACUUCUUCAUUCAUGAUGUUUAUCAGUUUUACAAGAUCUGGGGAUUGCUAAUUUUGGACUCAAUCGAUUAACUACUUGAAUUAUGGCGGUGUCAUAACCAUUUAUAUUGACAUCCUGUGAGGCUCUCGAAGCACCAGCAAUGGGAGUGGAGGAUGCAGCCUAAGUACCUUCAUGAUCACUGCUUUCCUUCAUAACUUGGGGACGUCUCAACAGCUUUGUCAUUGCCCACUCUAGUAGUGUAUAAGUUUUAUCGGACCCAGCUGCAAACAUAUCCUUCAUUGAAUACAAAAGUGAUUUCACAAUUUUGUAUGAAUAUCACAAGUUUUUGCCAGAAAUAGCUGAGGUACUUCAGGAGCCUCAUCUUCUGCUCCAUUGGCUGAUUUCCAAUCAAAUGAGUAGAGAAGAUUUGCUAGCAUGAGCUCAAUUUUGAAUG